GGGUGGCGGGGGAAGGGGAUGUGUGGUUCCUGCGCCCCGGCUUGGCCUGCUUGCUUCCAAGCUUGCCUGGGGCCCAACCCUCCCAGGGCUACAGAACUUUACAAAUAAGGUCUUUCUUCCAGCCCUGGGCUAUGGGAGCUGUAUACAAGUGGGGAUGUCCCUUCUCUCACUUCCUAUACCCGUUCCUUGGAGCAUUUAAGCCAUUUGCUACCUUGAUUCCUCCUCUGUUGGACAGAGGCUGGGGGCAACACAAACCUGAUUUUUCCUACCUACCUGCCUUUGUGUUCCCACCCCCAGAGGAAGGGACAGUUGCUGGCUGUUAGCAGGAGGAAGGACUGGUGUGGGAGGCUUCUCCCUCUGCCCAGGACUGGGCUGAUCUCUCCCCACUGCAACUAGUUGCCUCUGGAGUCGUCCUCUCCCCUCCCCCCAUAGGGUGGGUAUCAGGUAGGGCUCUGGUGCCUGUGCCUCUGGGGAGGUGCCCCUACCCACAUAGUGCAUGUGAUCUCCCUUGCCUUUUGCACGAGUGUCCCCACCCACCCACAUUGGAGGACAACACCCUGUGGUGCCAAUAGCUCUGAGCCCACCACCCCUUCCCAUAUAGUAUGCCCAUCCCUUCAGGAUCAAUCAGGGGAAAGUAUUGGAGCCCCUGGGUAGGUACAGAGAACAACCAUAAAAGGCAUAAAAUGUGAAAGUUUGUAAAUAGUCUAGUCCAGUCCAUCACAUUGUUGGGGCAAAGUCUGAUUUCUACAUAAAAAUGACUUUUGUUUUUUAAUUCCUUACUGUGCAAGCUCUGUGCUUCCAGAGUAUGGGAAGUGGUGUGGGGAGGGUGGCCCCCAGUCUAGGAAGGCUGUUGUGCUAAUUGGUUUAGUUUCAAUAAAAUUAUUUGUAGAACUAAAA